rnacentral:ncRNA from 1 species
GCAAAGGCGUUGAACAGGAUUAGUAGGUCAGGUCAUUCCUUCAGAGAACUGUCGGUUGGUGCAAGACAGCGGUAACUCCUGACUAAACUCCCCUGGGAGCUCUGCCCCAAACCAUAUUUUGUGCAGUAGGCGGCAGCGGUCUUUCCGUCCGUUAUUGUGGAAGCCGUAAUCGGACUUAGGUCCCGUACGGAUACAAGGGCAUACCUUUUGAGGUAUGAAUCAGGGUGGUACCGCGGAAGCUACGGUCUUUCGUCUCUGAA